AUUUUGAGUCCGUCACCAAAUGCCUAAGCAUUUGCAGCUGAGGAACUCUGUUUCUUGACGAUACGCGGAGCAUUGCGAAUUGUUAACAACUGAGAAGAAGAGGGGAAUGCGAUAAACUGGAAGAUGGAAAAAUAAAAACGAGUAUCUCAAAUCAGAAUUGAUUUAACAUUGUAAAGUUCCAAAGCGACAACGAGAUGCUGACUAAUUGAGAAAACGAUUGUACCCUGUCAUCAGAAAAGAGAAAGGGUGAUUGGUGAUACAGACAAGAACAUCCUGUUAAGAUUUAUUGCUCCCAACAUCUCUAUCACAAAUUGCUUAUACAGGCUGGAACAUCGAAAAUUUACUAGGAAAUUCUGAUGCAAACAAAUCUAAUAUACGUUUAUAAAUCUUUAUUUUCUUAUAUCACAACGUACAAAAAUAAAAAUUAUUUCUUAUAAUACA